rnacentral:rRNA from 1 species
GACGAACGCUGGCGGCGUGCUUAACACAUGCAAGUCGAACGGAAAGGCCCUGCUUUUGUGGGGUGCUCGAGUGGCGAACGGGUGAGUAACACGUGAGUAACCUGCCCUUGACUUUGGGAUAACUUCAGGAAACUGGGGCUAAUACCGGAUAGGAGCUCCUGCUGCAUGGUGGGGGUUGGAGAGUUUCGGCGGUUGGGGAUGGACUCGCGGCUUAUCAGCUUGUUGGUGGGGUAGUGGCUUACCAAGGCUUUGACGGGUAGCCGGCCUGAGAGGGUGACCGGCCACAUUGGGACUGAGAUACGGCCCAGACUCCUACGGGAGGCAGCAGUGGGGAAUAUUGCACAAUGGGCGGAAGCCUGAUGCAGCAACGCCGCGUGCGGGAUGACGGCCUUCGGGUUGUAAACCGCUUUCGCCUGUGACGAAGCGUGAGUGACGGUAAUGGGGAAAGAAGCACCGGCUAACUACGU